rnacentral:tRNA from 1 species
GGAGAGAUGGCCGAGCGGUCGAAGGCGUCUGACUCGAAAUCAGAUGUGGUGAAAGCCACCGGGGGUUCAAAUCCCUCUCUCUCCG